rnacentral:rRNA from 1 species
GAUGAACGCUGGCGGCGUGCCUAAUACAUGCAAGUCGAGCGAACGGACGAGAAGCUUGCUUCUCUGAUGUUAGCGGCGGACGGGUGAGUAACACGUGGAUAACCUACCUAUAAGACUGGGAUAACUUCGGGAAACCGGAGCUAAUACCGGAUGAUAUUUUGAACCGCAUGGUUCAAAAGUGAAAGACGGUCUUGCUGUCACUUAUCGAUGGAUCCGCGCUGCAUUAGCUAGUUGGUAAGGUAACGGCUUACCAAGGCAACGAUGCAUAGCCGACCUCAGAGGGUGAUCGGCCACACGGGAACGGAGACACGGUCCAGACUCCUACUGGAGGCAGCAGUAGGGAAUCGUCCGCAAUGGGCGAAAGCCUGACGGAGCAACGCCGAGUGAGUGAUGAAGGUCUUCGGAUCGUAAAACUCUGUUAUUAGGGAAGAACAUAUGUGUAAGUAACUGUGCACAUCUUGACGGUACCUAAUCAGAAAGCCACGGCUAACUACGUG